rfam:Daucus carota subsp. sativus cultivar DH1 chromosome 6, whole genome shotgun sequence.
AAAGUAGAUUGCAGCCAAGGAUGACUUGCCGAAAAUUUCAAAUAUCAGUAGCAUUAUUAGAUUUACCUUGAUGAAAAUGAAUCUGAAUAUCAGUCUCGGCAAGUUGUCUCUGGCUACAUUUUCCUUUCU